rnacentral:rRNA from 1 species
UGUAAGCGUAUACCAAAGUUGUUGCAGUUAAAACGCUCGUAGUCGGAAUUUGGCAGUUCCGGAUGUGUGCACGUCGUGUGCGCACUUCGCGGGGAUUGCUUUUGUGGUCUUGCGUAGGAUGAGGCACUUUUAUUAGUGAACGUCCUCACGCAACCACUUUUUACUGUGAGAAAAUCAGAGUGCUCAAAGCAGGCAUUUGCCGUGAAUGUCUUAGCAUGGAAUAAUAGAAUAGGACUUGGUUCUAUUUUGUUGGUUUGUUGGGACUGAGUAAUGAUUAAGAGGGACAGUUGGGGGCAUUUGUAUUUCGGUGCUAGAGGUGAAAUUCUUAGAUUACCGAAAGACAAACUGCUGCGAAAGCGUCUGCCAAGGAUGUUUUCAUUGA